GACGAACGCUGGCGGCGUGCCUAAUACAUGCAAGUCGAGCGAAUCUGAGGGAGCUUGCUCCCAAAGAUUAGCGGCGGACGGGUGAGUAACACGUGGGCAACCUGCCUGUAAGACUGGGAUAACUUCGGGAAACCGGAGCUAAUACCGGAUAAUUCUUAUCAACUCAUGUUGGUAAGCUAAAGACGGCGUAAGCUGUCACUUACAGAUGGGCCCGCGGCGCAUUAGCUAGUUGGUGAGGUAACGGCUCACCAAGGCAACGAUGCGUAGCCGACCUGAGAGGGUGAUCGGCCACACUGGGACUGAGACACGGCCCAGACUCCUACGGGAGGCAG
rnacentral:rRNA from 1 species